GACGGAGGGGGCGAGCGUUGUCCGGAAUUACUGGGCGUAAAGAGCGCGUAGGCGGUUGGCUACGGCGGUGGUGAAAGCUCCCGGCUUAACUGGGAGAGGUCCGUCGCGACGGGUCGACUGGAGGCGGGUAGAGGCAGAUGGAAUUCCUGGUGUAGCGGUGAAAUGCGUAGAGAUCAGGAGGAACACCCAUGGCGAAGGCAGUCUGCUGGGCCUGGCCUGACGCUGAGGCGCGAAGGCGAGGGGAGCGAACGGG
rnacentral:rRNA from 1 species